AUUGAACGCUGGCGGCAGGCCUAACACAUGCAAGUCGAACGAGUGGCGGACGGGUGAGUAAUGUCUGAGCACCUGCCCGAUGGAGGGGGAUAACUACUGGAAACGGUAGCUAAUACCGCUAACCCUCGUAUGUGCCCAGAUGGGAUUAGCUAGUAGGUGGGGUAACGGCUCACAUUGGCGACGAUCCCUAGCUGGUCUGAGAGGAUGACCAGCCACACUGGAACUGAGACACGGCCCAGACUCCUACGGGAGGCAGCAGUGGGGAAUAUUGCACAAUGGGCGAAAGUCUGAUGCAGCCAUGCCGCGUGUAUGAAGAAGGCCUUCGGGUUGUAAAGUACUGUCAGCGAGGAGGCGUUACUCGCAGAAGAAGCACCGGCUAACUCCGUGCCAGCAGCCGCGGUAAUAC
rnacentral:rRNA from 1 species